CGGAGGCGCAAGCGUUAAUCGGAAUAACUGGGCGUAAAGCGCACGCAGGCGGUUUGCUAAGCUAGAUGUGAAAGCCCCGGGCUCAACCUGGGAACUGCAUUUAGAACUGGCGAACUAGAGUCUUGUAGAGGGGGUAGAAUUCCAGGUGUAGCGGUGAAAUGCGUAGAGAUCUGGAGGAAUACCGGUGGCGAAGGCGGCCCCCUCGGACGAGAGACGUGACGCUCAGGUGCGAAAGACGUGGGGAGCAAACAGGAUU
rnacentral:rRNA from 1 species